CAGUAGCCACGGGAAUACGAAGGGGGCUAGCGUUGCUCGGAAUGACUGGGCGUAAAGGGCGCGUAGGCGGCACACACAGUCAGGCGCGAAAUUCCUGGGCUUAACCUGGGGGCUGCGUUUGAUACAUGUGAGCUAGAGGAUGGAAGAGGCUCGUGGAAUUCCCAGUGUAGAGGUGAAAUUCGUAGAUAUUGGGAAGAACACCGGUGGCGAAGGCGGCGAGCUGGUCCAUUACUGACGCUGAGGUACGAAAGCGUGGGGAGCAAACAGGAUUAGAUACCCCUGUAGUCCCUGUCUCUUAUAA
rnacentral:rRNA from 1 species